CCGACGGUGAGAGGUGAAGGCUGGGGGCGCAAACCGGAUUAGAUACCCGGGUAGUCCCAGCAGUAAACGAUGCCAGCUAUGUGUUGCUGGAACCAUGGGUUCAGCAGUGCCGAAGGGAAGCCGUGAAGCUGGCCACCUGGGAAGUACGGUCGCAAGGCUGAAACUUANAGGAAUUGGCGGGGGAGUACCACAACCGGUGGAGCCUGCGGUUUAAUUGGAUACAACGCCGGGAAUCUUACCGGAGGGGACAGCAGUAUGAAGGCCAGGCUAAAGACCUUGCCAGAUCAGCUGAGAGGAGGUGCAUGGCCGUCGCCAGUUCGUACCGUGAGGCAUCCUGUUUAGUCAGGCAACGAUCGAGACCCGCAGUCUUAUUUGCCAGCAUGCCCUUUGGGGUGUAUGGGUACAAUAAGACGACCGCCAGCGCUAAGCUGGAGGAAGGAGCGGGCUACGGUAGGUCAGCAUGCCCCGAAUCCUCCGGGAUACACGCGGGCUACAAUGGUCAGGACAAAAGGUACCGACCUCGAAAGAGUGAGGUAAUCCACAAACCUGAUCUCAGUCCGGAUCGAAGGCUGCAACUCGCCUUCGUGAAGAUGGAAUCGGUAGUAAUCGUGACUCAAAAUGUCACGGUGAAUAUGUCCCUGCUCCUUGCACACA
rnacentral:rRNA from 1 species